rnacentral:tRNA from 1 species
AGAAAUUAGUUAAUUCCAUAAUAUUGAGCUGUCAAAUCAAAGUAAUAUUUAAUAUAUUUCUUUA